GGUUAAGCGACUAAGCGUACACGGUGGAUGCCCUGGCAGUCAGAGGCGAUGAAGGACGUGCUAAUCUGCGAAAAGCGUCGGUAAGGUGAUAUGAACCGUUACAGCCGGCGAUGUCCGAAUGGGGAAACCCAGUGCAAUUCGUUGCACUAUCGUUAACUGAAUACAUAGGUUAACGAGGCGAACCGGGGGAACUGAAACAUCUAAGUACCCCGAGGAAAAGAAAUCAACCGAGAUUCCCCCAGUAGCGGCGAGCGAACGGGGAGCAGCCCAGAGUCUGAAUCAGCUUGUGUGUUAGUGGAACGGUCUGGAAAGUCCGACGGUACAGGGUGAUAGUCCCGUACACCAAAAUGCACAGGUUGUGAACUCGAAGAGUAGGGCGGGACACGUGGUAUCCUGUCUGAAUAUGGGGGGACCAUCCUCCAAGGCUAAAUACUCCUGACUGACCGAUAGUGAACCAGUACCGUGAGGGAAAGGCGAAAAGAACCCCGGCGAGGGGAGUGAAAAAGAACCUGAAACCGUGUACGUACAAGCAGUGGGAGCACCUUCGGGUGUGACUGCGUACCUUUUGUAUAAUGGGUCAGCGACUUAUAUUCUGUAGCAAGGUUAACCGUAUAGGGGAGCCGCAGGGAAACCGAGUCUUAACUGGGCGUUAAGUUGCAGGGUAUAGACCCGAAACCCGGUGAUCUAGCCAUGGGCAGGUUGAAGGUUGGGUAACACUAACUGGAGGACCGAACCGACUAAUGUUGAAAAAUUAGCGGAUGACUUGUGGCUGGGGGUGAAAGGCCAAUCAAACCGGGAGAUAGCUGGUUCUCCCCGAAAGCUAUUUAGGUAGCGCCUCGUGAACUCAUCUUCGGGGGUAGAGCACUGUUUCGGCUAGGGGGUCAUCCCGACUUACCAACCCGAUGCAAACUACGAAUACCGAAGAAUGUUAUCACGGGAGACACACGGCGGGUGCUAACGUCCGUCGUGAAGAGGGAAACAACCCAGACCGCCAGCUAAGGUCCCAAAGUCAUGGUUAAGUGGGAAACGAUGUGGGAAGGCACAGACAGCCAGGAUGUUGGCUUAGAAGCAGCCAUCAUUUAAAGAAAGCGUAAUAGCUCACUGGUCGAGUCGGCCUGCGCGGAAGAUGUAACGGGGCUAAACCAUGCACCGAAGCUGCGGCAGCGACACUAUGUGUUGUUGGGUAGGGGAGCGUUCUGUAAGCCUGCGAAGGUGACCUGUGAGGGUUGCUGGAGGUAUCAGAAGUGCGAAUGCUGACAUAAGUAACGAUAAAGCGGGUGAAAAGCCCGCUCGCCGGAAGACCAAGGGUUCCUGUCCAACGUUAAUCGGGGCAGGGUGAGUCGACCCCUAAGGCGAGGCCGAAAGGCGUAGUCGAUGGGAAACAGGUUAAUAUUCCUGUACUUGGUGUUACUGCGAAGGGGGGACGGAGAAGGCUAUGUUAGCCGGGCGACGGUUGUCCCGGUUUAAGCAUGUAGGCUGGUUGUCCAGGCAAAUCCGGAUAAUCAAGGCUGAGGUGUGAUGACGAGGCACUACGGUGCUGAAGUAACAAAUGCCCUGCUUCCAGGAAAAGCCUCUAAGCAUCAGGUAACAUCAAAUCGUACCCCAAACCGACACAGGUGGUCAGGUAGAGAAUACCAAGGCGCUUGAGAGAACUCGGGUGAAGGAACUAGGCAAAAUGGUGCCGUAACUUCGGGAGAAGGCACGCUGGUGUGUAGGUGAAGCCCCUGCGGGUGGAGCUGAGACCAGUCGAAGAUACCAGCUGGCUGCAACUGUUUAUUAAAAACACAGCACUGUGCAAACACGAAAGUGGACGUAUACGGUGUGACGCCUGCCCGGUGCCGGAAGGUUAAUUGAUGGGGUUAUCCGUAAGGAGAAGCUCUUGAUCGAAGCCCCGGUAAACGGCGGCCGUAACUAUAACGGUCCUAAGGUAGCGAAAUUCCUUGUCGGGUAAGUUCCGACCUGCACGAAUGGCGUAAUGAUGGCCAGGCUGUCUCCACCCGAGACUCAGUGAAAUUGAACUCGCUGUGAAGAUGCAGUGUACCCGCGGCAAGACGGAAAGACCCCGUGAACCUUUACUAUAGCUUGACACUGAACAUUGAGCCUUGAUGUGUAGGAUAGGUGGGAGGCUUUGAAGCGUGGACGCCAGUCUGCGUGGAGCCAACCUUGAAAUACCACCCUUUAAUGUUUGAUGUUCUAACGUUGGCCCCUGACCGGGGUUGCGGACAGUGUCUGGUGGGUAGUUUGACUGGGGCGGUCUCCUCCCAAAGCGUAACGGAGGAGCACGAAGGUUAGCUAAUCCUGGUCGGACAUCAGGAGGUUAGUGCAAUGGCAUAAGCUAGCUUGACUGCGAGCGUGACGGCGCGAGCAGGUGCGAAAGCAGGUCAUAGUGAUCCGGUGGUUCUGAAUGGAAGGGCCAUCGCUCAACGGAUAAAAGGUACUCCGGGGAUAACAGGCUGAUACCGCCCAAGAGUUCAUAUCGACGGCGGUGUUUGGCACCUCGAUGUCGGCUCAUCACAUCCUGGGGCUGAAGUAGGUCCCAAGGGUAUGGCUGUUCGCCAUUUAAAGUGGUACGCGAGCUGGGUUUAGAACGUCGUGAGACAGUUCGGUCCCUAUCUGCCGUGGGCGCUGGAGAAUUGAGGGGGGCUGCUCCUAGUACGAGAGGACCGGAGUGGACGCAUCACUGGUGUUCGGGUUGUCAUGCCAAUGGCACUGCCCGGUAGCUAAAUGCGGAAGAGAUAAGUGCUGAAAGCAUCUAAGCACGAAACUUGCCCCGAGAUGAGUUCUCCCUGAGACUUUAAGUCUCCUGAAGGAACGUUGAAGACGACGACGUUGAUAGGCCGGGUGUGUAAGCGCAGCGAUGCGUUGAGCUAACCGGUACUAAUGAACCGUGAGGCUUAACCUU
rnacentral:rRNA from 1 species